UAUACGUGCAUCCGCGAUGCAUUCAAACGUGUUAGAUAAUUUUCUAUUAAUAAAUCAAUAUUUUAAAAGAUACCAAUACAUCUAAAGCUUCAUCUAAUUCAGCUUCGGUUAAAUCACCACGAGCUUUAACUCUUAAACCUAGCGUGUUAUAAUGAACUGAGAUAGCAGAACGCUUUGGUUUCCCUUCAACUGUAAAGAAAAAUAUCGAAAAAACACGACAAACCAUAAGAUAAGAUGGACGGAAAUUAUGAGACCAUUGAGAUAUGCAAUGAGCUUCGUCUAUACAAGCAAAAGCUAUCGGUGGCAGUUCUCUAAGCAAAGCACCAAAUCCAGUUGAUUUCUCACCAGCCACUAUUGCUUCAGGAGUUUGAUUAGUAUGCAAACAAGCUGCGGAUAAAAAUGAUGCCAUGCCAGUUACUUGGUCGUCCAUUAAUGAAACUAAUGGCGAGAUGACUAAUGUUAUGCAGGUUGAAUAUUUAGAAUAUAAAUAUGCCGGUAAUUGAUAACAUAAGGAUUUUCCAGAACCAGUUGACAAAGGAGGCAUAAUUUGGCUAUCAAUUCAUCAGGAAUUUUAUGGACUCCUGGAAUUUCCUGUAAUAAAUUUCAAUAAUUACAUAUAGUAAGUAUAUAAAUUAAAAAAAAAAAAA
rnacentral:lncRNA from 1 species